rnacentral:rRNA from 1 species
GCCAGACUCCUACGGGAGGCAGCAGUGGGGGAUAUUGCACAAUGGGGGAAACCCUGAUGCAGCGACGCCGCGUGAGUGAAGAAGUAUUUCGGUAUGCAAAGCUCUAUCAGCAGGGAAGAAAAAAGACGGUACCUGACUAAGAAGCCCCGGCUAACUACGUGCCAGCAGCCGCGGUAAUACGUAGGGGGCAAGCGUUAUCCGGAUUUACUGGGUGUAAAGGGAGCGUAGACGGCAAUACAAGUCGGAAGUGAAAUACCCGGGCUCAACCUGGGAACUGCUUUGGAAACUGUAUGGCUGGAGUGCUGGAGAGGUAAGCGGAAUUCCUAGUGUAGCGGUGAAAUGCGUAGAUAUUAGGAGGAACACCAGUGGCGAAGGCGGCCUGCUGGGCUUUUACUGACGCUGAGGCUCGAAAGUGUGGGGAGCAAACAGGAUUAGAUACCCUGGUA